rnacentral:rRNA from 1 species
CACGUAGGCACCAAGCGUUGUCCGGAUUUAUUGGGCGUAAAGAGCUCGUAGGCGGUUCAGUAAGUCAGGUGUGAAAUCUUUGGGCUUAACCCAAAGCGUGCACUUGAUACUGCUGUGACUUGAGUUCGGUAGGGGAGUGGGGAAUUCCUAGUGUAGCGGUGAAAUGACGCAGAUAUUAGGAGGAACACCGGUGGCGAAGGCGCCACUCUGGGCCGAAACUGACGCUGAGGAGCGAAAGCGUGGGUAGCAAACAGG